GACGUCUAAUACCGGAUACGACCCUCGGAGGCAUCUCCUGGGGGUGGAAAGAAUUUUGGUCAAGGAUGAGCUCGCGGCCUAUCAGCUUGUUGGUGAGGUAAUGGCUCACCAAGGCGACGACGGGUAGCCGGCCUGAGAGGGUGACCGGCCACACUGGGACUGAGACACGGCCCAGACUCCUACGGGAGGCAGCAGUGGGGAAUAUUGCACAAUGGGCGCAAGCCUGAUGCAGCAACGCCGCGUGAGGGACGACGGCCUUCGGGUUGUAAACCUCUUUUAGUAGGGAAGAAGCGAAAGUGACGGUACCUGCAGAAAAAGCACCGGCUAACUACGUGCCAGCAGCCGCGGUAAUACGUAGGGUGCAAGCGUUGUCCGGAAUUAUUGGGCGUAAAGAGCUCGUAGGCGGUUUGUCGCGUCUGCUGUGAAAACCCGAGGCUCAACCUCGGGCCUGCAGUGGGUACGGGCAGACUAGAGUGCGGUAGGGGAGAUUGGAAUUCCUGGUGUAGCGGUGGAAUGCGCAGAUAUCAGGAGGAACACCGAUGGC
rnacentral:rRNA from 1 species